GACAGUGAGCUUUGGGCAAUGGUUGGUCAGACUGGAAUGUCUGUCAGCUCAAGAGGCAUUUUUGUGGUUCAAUCAGAAGGAAAUGUCUGUUGUGUUAGCUUGUGGGGAACUUUAUGGGGAAAAAGAAUGAAAACAAAGUUUACCUGUGAGUUUCGCUGUGGAAAAUGACGAGAAUGGAUUCCUUUUUUUUCUUUUUUCUGUUCCCGUGGAAACUUUACCUGCUUACCAUUGUGAAACUGGAGGGGUAUGUAUACAUUGUAGUGAGGUAAGACCGGUCUCAUUUGAAAGAGGAGGAUGUCCUGAUGUGUUUUGAUAUGUAAUAGUGGGGUGGAGUUACAUGACGGCUUCUUCAGCUUCCCCUUUUCUACUGGAGUCGCUCAUGUCCGCAGCGCAUUUAAAAUGUGUAAAAGUGUUUAAAAUCUGAAAAAUUAUUGAUAAAGGUCAGUGAAAUAUUAAAACAUUUUAGACAUGCUCUAACCCCCCUGUAGCAAAAUCAGAGACAAAUCUGUUGUUUCAUCUCAUCCUUGUAAAGCUAGAGGCUGGAGAUGACCAGAAGAGGGUCAUGCCACAGUCUUGCCCGCACCGGGCGCAAGUGGUUAAGGCAUUUUUUCUACUUAACGUGUAGUUUUGUCUUUUUAACUGAAGCUUUCAAUGUAUGUUUUAAGUUCUGUUGUACCAAUUCUGCAAGUCAUCGUUUUAUUCGAGGGACCCUCUUGUUUCUGUUUUAAGGCCCAUUUAAUAAUCUUUUUAAGAGUUAGGUCUGUUUCAAGGUACCCUUUAGAGACUGCUUUAAAGCAAAUGUACUUUGAAAUUCCUGUCAGGGGCUCUUAAAGGUGUUCUAACGUAUCUGUUAUAAAGCUCUUGUAGGUGUCCUUCUGUAGGGUAUCUUUCAGGAGUAACUUUAACCGUGUACUCUUUGUAAAAAGUAAUAUGUUGUUAGCUGCUUUGGUUGAUCAUACUUGUCCCCCAUGUUGCCUCUUGUAUCUCAGAUCUGACCUCUAUCUAGACUCAGAAUAAAGAGGUUGCUUCAAAGUCAAUGUGCAUUAUUAUUUCCUGUUGUUUGGGUAUCAACACAAAAUGAAAACAGCCAAGCUAAAGUUAGUGAAGGGUUUUACUGCAGAUUCCAGAUACACAUAUCGCUAGCAAGCUGGACAAGAGGAGCUCAGUUAAGAAUCUCUCCCCAGUUGAUCGAAAUGCUGAUAAACAUGAGAAAAAGCACAGAUCGGAGCAGAGGUCACACCACAUCUCAUUAAAACCCCUGCAUAACUGCAGCCUGCAGUAACCAGAACUCUUACAUUUGUUGUGCAUUCAAACAAACCAAGUUUAAGGCUUACACCACAGUGAAAUGUAACUCCCAUAGGCAAGACUAAUUAGACAUAAUUUUCAUCACAGAGAGACAUCCAAGCAGGGUUCAUAGAAAUAGCUCAACAAUGUCUUCAGAGAGACUUCUCGUUUCUAGUUCCAAGUCUUGUGUGUAUAUUUAAUUCUGCCUCGGAGAGAUUCAGAGUGGAUUUUGCUUUAACAAUACUUUAUCUGUGAGAUGAAAUGCCACAUGAAUAUUGAACAAUGAAAGAAGAUCAUCCCAACUUGUAUGCAUCAAAUGUAUUGGUUUUGGGAUGCUGUGUGUGUGUGUGUGUGUGUGUGUGUGUGUGUGUGUGUGUGUGUGUGUGUCCAUGCCACAAAACUCAUCCCACUGAAACAAGUUAGACUGAUGUUUCUUAUAAGCUGCGAAGAGGUGCUUCACUUAAAUUAUACUAACAAAGCUUUGGUGUUUCCUUUUGGGAUUAUCUAACCCCCCCUCCAAAAUUUAAAUAUCAAGAACUUCAAAUGAAACAUGAACCAAUUUUGGAAACAUGCGUGCAAUAUUUGAAAAAUUCUUGGGGGAGAUGGAUGUUUCCUGGGGUGAUUUGGUGAAACUGUUGAGCCCAUUCGACAUCACUUUUAGAUCAAAUAAAAAGCUCUCUGUUGGGAUCUGUCUAAAACAUGAUGAAAUAGUUAUGAAAUGGCACAGGGAGCAAAGUAGAAAUGAUUAAUCAGCCAAUAACCCAUGGCAAGCCUACUGUACGGGCUGAACGUCCUCUUGAUUGGAAGAAAACGGCGACAGGAAAUUUGAUUGUGUGAAUUAUCAUGAGAUCUACUAUUUAUAGAAGAGUUUUAAAGUCUGAUGGCUGUUGGUACAAAAGAUCUUCAGAAUCUUUCUGUCCAGCAGCGAAGAGAGACCACUGUCCACCACCAUUGGCCCUUUGGUCCAUUAAAGGGGACCUGCCAUCAAAAAUGUAAUUUUGUGUGUUUUUGUGUCAGGUAAGUUCCAUAUUAUGUUCGUCUUAUGUUGUAAAUGUGAAAACAAACCGUUACGUCGUUUGCCUUCUGUAAAGGUUUAAAAUAAAGAAACAGGUAAACCAGGCCAAUUGAAAAAGCAGGUCCUUCUGACGUCACGCUGACCUUGCUCAUUAUUAUUCACAAGCGCGUCCUCGGUGAGCCGUGCCCACUCUCUCGUUCUCGUACUCAUUCACAGUCAUCAUAUCACUCUCCAGCCAGAGCGAGUCCCAGCUACCACUGUAUCCGCUAUGGGUCUCUUCCAAACGACCGGUGUUUCCUUCGGUUCACUGCCGGGAAAAUGAACUUAAAGCUGGGCAGAAUGAAUGAAAACACAGCUGGAGAUCUCUGGCUUCUUCUUCAACUUCCACCUCCCCUUCGGACUCGGGGUCUAAAAUAUAUGGUUUAAUACCUGCCGUUUUUAGCCUUUAGCAUAAGGUGACCAGACGUCCCCGAUUUCCAGGACAGUCCCCGUAUUGGAUGACCUGUCCCCGGCAAAAGCUGUCCCCGAAAAUGUCCCCGAUUUAAGCGUUUCAUGGAUUAGAGCAAAAAUGUUGCGUGUGGGCUCGAACAACGGUUAUUACAGUAGCCGAAUAGGUAGGAAGCACAAGUAAGCAGUCCUGAACAACAGUUUUUAAGGGGGUUAUUACAAGGGGCUUGCGCUGCUACUAAAUAGUACCGAGACUUUGUCUGUGAUCACCCACCCCCCCCAUCCCCCCGCUAGCAAAAUGGAUAAACCGAAAUCCGAACCUCCACUGCUGAGCCAAUCAGAGCACAGCAGGCUUCACAGCAGCGAUCCAAUCAGAGCAAAGCUCAUUACCAUAAAUGUUAAUGAGUCAAAAUCAGUUGGUUUUCCUGUAAGGUUUUUUAGGCAUACUAAAACAAACCAUCAAAUAACUUUUCAGCUAAAAUUAUGUUGCAAACAUGAUCAGAGGACAUAAAAAUGGAUAUGAAAUUUUGAUUGCAGGUCCACUUUAAGGUGUUGUGGAGUGGGUGAUCCAUGUUCUUUAGAAUAGACUCCACCUUCCUCAGUGUAGCUCGCUCCACCACAUCCUCCAGCUUGAGUCCUACCCCAGAGCCAGCCUUUUUCACCAGUUUGUUCAGACGUCUUGCAUCUUUGUGUUUGAUGCUUCCUCCCUAGCAGACUGCAGCGUAGAACAGAACACUGCAGACACCACAGACUGAUAAAACAUCUGCAGCAUCUUACUACAGAUGCCAAUUGAUCUGAGUCUUCUCGAGGAUUUGUUUUCAAUCAAGAUAAGGCGCUCAACCUGAAAGCACAUGAAGGCUCAAUGAAGUACUGUAAGGUACACCCAGCUAUUUUUGGUCUGCCUGUUUUUAUUUUUUAUUUUUUUUGUAAAAAUCUGUGGAACAACUCUAUCCUUUCAAACACAGCAAGUAUAUAUAUAUCUUAUUUUCCACGACAACCUCAGCUGUCAGUUUAUGGGUGCAAAAAUUAUGUACAAUUAAUGUGACAGUAGUUUCAGAACCAUCAAAGUCACCAAAAAAACGAAAAACAGAAAUUAAUACCAACAGUACUGUGCUCAAAAAACACAUGGUGACCAAGCCUUUUCUCACCUGCACAUCAUUCUGUUAAGUCUUGGCGAUUAGGAGAAGAAAUAUUGGUAUUGGAACAAACACACAACAGAAACUAUUGACAUAUUUACACUAAUUAUUCUAGGCGUUUUUUGCUAUUUACAGUUGUUUAUGCCACUCCUUGAAGCAGUUCCUGUCUGGGAUGAGACAGAGGGCCACAUUCUGCUCAGAAUCUCUUCUUUGCUUGUUUCCAAACAUUGAGGACCAUUAUUUAUUUUGCAGACAAGCAGGGAACUUUCUUGUCUCUUAUUGAUCUUUGGUUGCCUCUUAUUGGACCCUACUGUCAAGGGAACAAUAGAAGAAGAAUAUGAGACCAUGUAAUUGGUCGAAAGUUCGACAGAAAAAGACAUCAUCAAAACAGCUCGUCAAACCUGGAAGGCAUAAGUGGGAUUUAGCAAUAGCAAUAGUGAUCGUUUUUUUAUCACAAAAAUAUGAUAAUCAUGUUUUCACCGGUAUAUCCCUCGCGGAUUUACCAUCAAAAGUCUCUGAUCAAACACCUAUUUUUAUGGCUGGAUUGUAAACCUUGCGGGAGGUGUAGAAAUGCCUGGAAACUCUUGUUAGAUAGCCAAAAGUGUAAGCUGUUGAAUACUUUCAUCCCACAGAGAUACACAGUAUAGUUCCCAAGAAACUGUAAACAAUGUUAAUGGUGUCACAUGGGAUCACCGGCAAUCCAGCAAAGUUCUAAGUGUUAAUUUCCAAAAUGUACAUAGUGUUAAAUUGACAUUCAUCACUGCCUGAUUGAUGUUGUGUUAAACACCUCUAAUUAGGUCAAGGCCAAAACAGCUGUGAACUUAAAAGACUCAGACCCUGCUAGACUAAUGGGGUGUACUAAGUUAUCUUGCAUCAAGAUGUUGGCAAAAGGUUCUUCAAGUCCUGAUCAUUGUAAGAUGGAGUAUCCACGGAUGAGACUUGACUGUCCAGCACAUCCCAUAGGUGCUCCAUGGACUAAAACCUGGUGGAUUGAAGUCAACAUUGUUGUGUUUCUCCAGGCCAACUUCUCACAUUUGUUUCUGGUGAACUUCUGACAUUCAUUCCUCCUUUGUGGACACUUUUGGUAAGCCAACAUGAAGACUCUUACUGGUCUAUGUCUACGCAGCCCCAUACACAACAAAGUGGCAUUCAUUGCGUGUUCUGACAGCUUCCUAUCAGAACCAGCAUUUACCUUUCCAGCAGUCAGAGCUCCAUUCACACUUCUGUUCAGUCCACAUACACCAGUAAGCACUUUUCUGGUAACAACCCUGUUAAUCUGUCAGGGUUGUCCUUCCUGGAGUCACUUUUUGUUGGUCCUGAACUCUGCAGACUGAGAAGACCCCAUAAGAGCUGUGAUGUUUGAGAAUCUUUGACCCUGUUGUCUAUCAUUGUCGCCCAUACCCCAGCCCU